rnacentral:rRNA from 1 species
UGGGGAAUAUUGCGCAAUGGGGGAAACCCUGACGCAGCGACGCCGCGUGCGGGAUGAAGGCCUUCGGGUUGUAAACCGCUUUUGAUUGGGAGCAAGCCUUUUGGGUGAGUGUACCUUUCGAAUAAGCGCCGGCUAACUACGUGCCAGCAGCCGCGGUAAUACGUAGGGCGCAAGCGUUAUCCGGAAUUAUUGGGCGUAAAGCGCGCGCAGGUGGUUUAGAAAGUCUGAUGUGAAAGCCCACGGCUCAACCGUGGAGGGUCAUUGGAAACUAAUAAACUUGGGUGCAGGGGAGAAAAGUGGAAUUCCUAGUGUAGCGGUGAAAUGCGUAGAGAUUAGGAGGAACACCGGUGGCGAAAGCGGCUUUUUGGCCUGAAACUGACACUGAGGCGCGAAAGCGUGGGGAGCAAACAGG